rnacentral:lncRNA from 1 species
UGUCACAUUCUAUCAGAGCGUUGUGUCUCGACGUCCUUCAGCAUAAUGUUCCUUAAAGCAAUUCACCUAGUCGUCUGCUCCUCCGAACACAAAGUUCAAGAUCUUCACAGGAUCCAAACACAAACAACACACGGGGAGUGAGUUAUCACAUUCCUAACUAAUAGAGAAACAAGACAACUAGAUAUACAUAUCAUAUAAACUAAAUAAAAUUUACUUACACGUAAUUCACGUAAUUCCACCACUUUGUCAUUCAAAGUCAAUCACAUUUUUCAAUCAUCAAUUACAUUACACAAAAAUCACAUUAAUCACAUUUUUCAAUCAUCAAUCACAUUACACAAAAAUCACAUUCUCUGAUCAAGAUAUAAUAACACAUCAAUUUCAUAAUAAACAAUUAGCAAGCGCAUGAGACAGUUAUGCUAAGACUCAAGCCUAUAUGCAAUGUGGUACCAUGUCAGUGAAAAACCACCCUGGGGCGCUUAGGAGUACAUAACAAGACACACCACAUAAUGGGUUUGUCAGGUCACUCUCACUAAGUAAGAUCAUAGGGAGACCAGUCAGGGUCACGAUGUUUUGCGAGAAUGCUCCAACCAUAUGGGAUCAGCAUAGGCUUAAAGGAGCACUCAAACCCGAUGACCCCCAAGGCCUACACUCCGAAGAGUCCGUCAGGGCCUCUCCCUCCGGAUUCAGGUCCAACCCCUAAAAUCAUUUUAACACACAAACACUGCUAGUGAAUUAUACAAUACCCACGACCUCACACUCGUGUCUUAAGCACGUACAACAUAUUGCGCUACAAUUUAACACUGGUUCCUAAAUAGGAACCUACACUUUCUCUUUAACACUGGUUCCUAAAUAGGAAACCUACACUUUCUCUUUAACACUGCGCAUUUACACUUUUCUCAAGAUAACACUGGUCGGGUUAUUGUACAAUUCACAGCUUACAACACAAAUAAUGUCACAUCAAGAGUUAAUCACACACUUAUUCACAACCAAAACUCAUUCACAAUUUCACAUCUCAUAAUGUUACAAUCCACCAUCACAUGUUUUCACAUAUCUCACAAUUCAACACCUGUUCUACUUUACACUUUUACUCAAUCUCAAUAACAAUAUUAUAAUCUCAAGACAACAUAUCAUUCCACAAUUCAUCACAUAUUUCAUUUAUAAGCACUGCUCAUGAAUUAUACAAUACCACGACCUCACACUCAUGUUUCAAACAUGUUUAACACAAUUGCGCUACAAUUUAACACUGGUUCCUAACUAGGAACCUACACUUUCUCUUUAACAUUACGCAUAAACACUGGUCGGGUUAUUGUAUAAUUCAUAGCUCACGAUAUAAUUAAUGUAACAUCAAGUGUUAACACAUCCACUUAUUCACAAUCGAAUAUCAUGUCCACACUUUAACAUCUCAUAACAUCACAUCAACCAUCUCAUAACAUUGUCAAUGAUAUUCAUAAGGUACAACAUACACAUGUUCAUGAAAUUUAACCAUAAUAUUCUCAAACUCCAACACUUAAUAAUUUUUGGAAUCAUACUACAACACUCUACAAUGUUAUUUACAUAAAUUAUUAAUAUAAAUAGCUACCUCUAUAUCUAUAAACUGGCAUACAUCAUAUUGAAUCACAAAUUUCAAAGUAAGCUUUCAAUGCACAAGAAAAAGAGAAAAUACAAAAUCAAUAUCUCUCUCUAAAUUUCUUCUUAUUUUAUUUCAUCAAUUCAUAUUAAUUAGAAAAAAGUACUCAAUUUAUAGGGUUCAUGCUCAACAUAAUAGCAUAUCAAUUUCACAACAAUUGGUCUGUCAAACAUAUAUAAUUCACUGUAAUAAUUAUAAGGAUAAAAUGAAAUUGCAAAAACACCCAAAAACCCAUUCCAAUUGAUAUCUCUAAGGAUCCCUACACAUGUUCUCACUAUUUCCCAAGUGUGAAUAACUCAUCCCUUACCUCUAAGCGGACUCACGUGUCUUCCGACAACGAUAGCGGCAUCUAUAGCGGUUCCUUGAGAUUCCUCAAGUUUUUCCUCCGACUGCUCCGAUAGAAUUCUCGAACGUCAGAGAGACGGAGAAGAGAUUGAAGCCUCCGCUUGUACUGUCUCCAUGCGAUUCCUUUUUCUCCCACCACGAAUAUUAUCUCGCAAAUCCCAACGGUUAGAGUGUGCGAAAUUGAAUUUCGAGCAACAUAUCCAAAUUUCAUGAAAAUCCAACGGUUAACGAAACCGGGAUCGUAGUUUUACCGAGACAGUUUUGGGUUUCUGCGGGAUAAUAAAAAGCUACAAUGCGAAGGGUUUUCCUGUAAGCUCAGACAUGAUUUUGUAAUUCCCAACGGUGAGAAUGCUCGAAAUUGGGUUGCGAACGUGGUGCUCAAAUUUCACGACGAUCCAACAGUUAAUGAGUCCGAGAUCAUCAUUUUUCUGAGACAGAUUUUGUGGGCUGCGGGAAAAAGAAAGGGUUUUGAGAGGAGAAG